rnacentral:rRNA from 1 species
GAGUUUGAUCCUGGCUCAGGACGAACGCUGGCGGCGUGCUUAACACAUGCAAGUUGAACGGAGGUUCUGUUUUCGGACGAAACCUUAGUAGCGGACGGGUGAGUAACGCGUGAGCAACCUACCUUUGUGAGGGGGACAACAGCUGGAAACGGCUGCUAAUACCGCAUAAGGCCACGACCUCGAUUGAGGAUGUGGUAAAAGAUUUAUCGCACAAAGAUGGGCUCGCGUCCCAUUAGCUAGUUGGUGAGGUAACGGCUCACCAAGGCGACGAUGGGUAGCCGACCUGAGAGGGUGAUCGGCCACACUGGAACUGAGACACGGUCCAGACUCCUACGGGAGGCAGCAGUGGGGAAUAUUGGGCAAUGGGCGCAAGCCUGACCCAGCAACGCCGCGUGAGGGAAGAAGGUCUUCGGAUUGUAAACCUCUGUCCUUGGGGACGAAAAAAAUGACGGUACCCAAGGAGGAAGCUCCGGCUAACUACGUGCCAGCAGCCGCGGUAAUACGUAGGGAGCGAGCGUUGUCCGGAAUUACUGGGCGUAAAGGGUGCGUAGGCGGCUUGGCAAGUCAGAUGUGAAAUCCCCGGGCUUAACUCGGGAGUUGCAUUUGAAACUGCUAGGCUUGAGUGCAGGAGAGGAAAGCGGAAUUCCUAGUGUAGCGGUGAAAUGCGUAGAUAUUAGGAGGAACACCAGUGGCGAAGGCGGCUUUCUGGACUGUAACUGACGCUGAGGCACGAAAGCGUGGGGAGCAAACAGGAUUAGAUACCCUGGUAGUCCACGCUGUAAACGAUGGAUACUAGGUGUGGGGGAGAUACAACCUCCGUGCCGCAGCAAACGCAAUAAGUAUCCCGCCUGGGGAGUACGGUCGCAAGGCUGAAACUCAAAGGGAAUUGACGGGGACCCGCACA